rnacentral:rRNA from 1 species
UGGGGAAUAUUGCGCAAUGGGGGCAACCCUGACGCAGCAACGCCGCGUGUGUGAAGAAGGCCCUCGGGUCGUAAAGCACUGUCGAAUAGAACGAGCCGGUUGCGGUUAACACCCGUGACCCCGACGGUACUAUUUGAGGAAGCACCGGCUAACUCCGUGCCAGCAGCCGCGGUAAUACGGAGGGUGCGAGCGUUGUUCGGAAUUAUUGGGCGUAAAGCGCGCGCAGGCGGCCUGUUAAGUUUGAUGUGAAAUCCCUCGGCUCAACCGAGGACGUGCAUUGAAUACUGGCAGGCUUGAAUCCUGGAGAGGAUGGCGGAAUUCCCAGUGUAGAGGUGAAAUUCGUAGAUAUUGGGAGGAACACCAGUGGCGAAGGCGGCCAUCUGGACAGUGAUUGACGCUGAGGCGCGAAAGCAUGGGUAGCAAACAGGAUUAGAUACCCCCGUAGUCC